AGUGAACGCUGGCGGUAGGCCUAACACAUGCAAGUCGAACGGGAGCACAGUAAGAGCUUGCUCUUACGGGUGGCGAGUGGCGGACGGGUGAGGAAUAAAUCGGAAUCUACUUUGUCGUGGGUGAUAACGUAGGGAAACUUACGCUAAUACCGCAUACGACCUACGGGUGAAAGCAGGGGAUCUUCGGACCUUGCGCGAUUGAAUGAGCCGAUGUUGGAUUAGCUAGUUGGCUGGGUAAAGGGGCACCAAGGCGACGAUCCGUAGCUGGACUGAGAGGAUGAUCCGCAACUCGUGAGCUGGGACACGCUCCAACACCCUGAGGGAGGCAGCAGUGGGGAAUCUUGGACAAUGGGCGCAAGCCUAAUCCAGCCAUACGGCGUGGGUGAAGAAGGCCUUCGGGUUGUAAAGCCCUUUUGUUGGGAAAGAAAAGCAGCAGGUUACUACCCCGCUGUUCUGACGGUACCCAAAGAAUAAGCACCGGCUAACUUCGU
rnacentral:rRNA from 1 species